rnacentral:rRNA from 1 species
UACAGAGGGUGCGAGCGUUGUCCGGAAUCACUAGGGCGUAAAGGGCGCGUGAGGUGGCGGCAUAAGGCCGUGGUGAAAGUCUGGGGCUCAACCCCAGAUCGGCCGCGGCGACUGUGUCGCUUGGGCACCGUAGAGGCAGAUGGAAAUUCCGGGUGUAGCGGUGGAAUGCGUAGAGAUCCGGAAAGAACACCAGUGGCGAAGGGCGGUCUGCUGGGCGGUGGGGUCGCAAGAUCCCGAA